GACGAACGCUGGCGGCGUGCCUAAUACAUGCAAGUAGGACGCAGUUGCGAACGGGUGAGUAACGCGUAGGUAACUACCUAUUAGAGGGGGAUAACUCAUGGAAACGAUAGCUAAUACCGCAUACUAGUAGAUGGACCUGCGUUGUAUUAGUUAGUAGGUAGGGGAAUGGCCUACCUAGGCAACGAUACAUAGCCGACCUGGGGUGGUGGUCGGCACCACUGGGACUGGGACACGGCCCAGACUCCUACGGGAGGCAGCAGUAGGGAAUCUUCGGCAAUGGGGGGAACCCUGACCGGACAAAGCCGCCGGAGUGAAGAAGGUUUUCCGGUCGUAAAGCCCUGUUGUUUAGGAAGCGGUACUUAACCAGAAAGGGACGGCUAACUACGUGCCAGCCGCCGCGGUAAUAC
rnacentral:rRNA from 1 species